AUGCUCCCAUAUCCCAUUCACUUUUGUGAUGUUGCUCUCUCCAAUAGAAAUAAGGAAAGAAUGAGUGUCUUUUUUUUUUUACAGUGGCCACGUGUUCCCUCUGAAAGCAAGUGUUGCCUGGAAGUGCUGAGGAGAGGACUUUACAGAAUAUCUGAAGAGAAGAAAGGUAGAACAAUGUUAUUUUUUGCCUUAUGCUUCUACUGUCCCUGGAACAAAUGGGCCACUGAGAGAAAACAAAGAAGUCAUUAUUUAGGCUAAAGUUGCAAAGGUAAUUUUGUUGUGUUAGGAGACAAAAAUACUAAAAACUAAGAUUUGUUGAGAAAGAAAAUCACAUAUUCAUUAAAUGAAAGUUAAAAAAAAGAAAGUUGUAAUAGGUGAAAGCAAUGUACAUUUGGAAUAGGAUCCAGAAGCCAUGAGAUUUUGUGUCUCCUUUCUUCUUAUGAACUUUAGGAGGAAGACUGUCAUCAUGGUUCACUGUGUAUCUGUGUGCAUGACACAGCUCUAGGGAGUAUUGGUCAAAUCAUUGUCUAUUUCAGUUGUAUUCCUGGCAUUAUUCACUGCACACCUGCAACCUGGCAUCAUUGACUACCUGCUCAUAAUAGAACAGAAAUGACUGCAUGCAAUGUUCAGGCAGAGAAAGGCCUAAGAUGACUGUCAUCAGUCUUCUUUCCAUGUGUGAUGGAAGGGAUUUUACACUCUCGAAAGACCUGAAGGAGAGGAGCUGGUAGACCCCAUGCAUGGAGGAAGGUCGGGAGGUGGAGAUGCUGAUUUUAAGUUUUGAUGAUUUUAUGCUGCAUGAAUGUAUCUCAAUACUAUCCUGUGCUUCAUGAAAGUGUGCAAGUAUUAUGUGUUAAUCAAAAACUUAAAAUUACUCCAGUGUAUAUUCAGUAGGAGAAUGCAGAGGAAGCUGUUGGUGCUGUAUGAAAUAGGAAUCCUAGUCAAACCACAGCAGGUUGAUAACUCAAAUGAGAAAAGGAUUCUGGGGCAGCAAAGACAUGGGUGAGUUUUCUGGAAGAAAUCACAGUUCCCUUCUCUAAGGAAAGAACAGACUGUCAAUGAAUCUGCCAUCACUCCAGCAUUGAGGCCAGUGAGGACAGAGGGUGUUGGCUCCCCACGGGCCCGUGGAAUGGGACACAGAAAUGGAAGCAGAGCACAAGGACGGAAGCCUCUUCUUCAAUGACACGGCGGGUGGUUGUUUUCUCCUCACAAGCAGAUCCAUUUGGGAAGGAAAGAGAUGUCUUGAAAGGGAAUUGGAUUU
rnacentral:lncRNA from 1 species